AGCGCUGUCGUCUAGUGGUAGGACAACACGUUAGGGAUUACCUGUGAAUCAAUAUCCGUGUAGACGAUGGUUCGAAUCCAUCUGGCGCUA